CGCGCCUGUGCCCGGGAGGAGUUCGAGAGCGUGGCCGAGCUUCACUCAGCCCUUUUUCAACUACGGGCUUGCUCGAGUCUCCCGCCUGCUGCUCUCUCGCGGUCUCCUCAUCCUUCAUCUUGAAGGCUUCUUCUACUCGGGCAUAUCCUUCGGCCUGAGCCAGCAAAUCGACAAAAUCCCUGAGGUACUUCUUUUCCAAGG
rnacentral:lncRNA from 1 species